UACGGGGGGGGCAAGCGUUGUCCGGAAUCAUUGGGCGUAAAGCGCGUGUAGGCGGUCCGGUAAGUCCGCUGUGAAAGUCGGGGGCUCAACCCUCGGAUGCCGGUGGAUACUGUCGGGCUUGAGUACGGAAGAGGCGAGUGGAAUUCCUGGUGUAGCGGUGGAAUGCGCAGAUAUCAGGAGGAACACCGGUGGCGAAGGCGGGAUCCUGGGCCAGUACUGACGCUGAGGAGCGAAAGCAUGGGGAGCGAACAGG
rnacentral:rRNA from 1 species